UACGAGGGCCUCGAGCGUUAUCCGGAAUUAUUGGGCGUAAAGUGUGCGUAGGCGGCAUUGUUAGUCGAGUGUUAAAUCCUAGGGCUCAACCUUAGAAUCGCAUUCGAAACGGCAAAGCUUGAGAGGAGAAGAGGUGAACAGAACUCAUGGUGUAGGGGUGAAAUCCGUUGAUAUCAUGGGGAAUACCAAAUGCGAAGGCAGUUCACUGGUCUCUUUCUGACGCUGAGGCACGAAAGCGUGGGUAGCGAAUGGG
rnacentral:rRNA from 1 species